AUUGAACGCUGGCGGCAGGCUUAACACAUGCAAGUCGAGCGAGUGGCGGACGGGUGAGUAAUGUCUGGGAAACUGCCUGAUGGAGGGGGAUAACUACUGGAAACGGUAGCUAAUACCGCAUACCAUCGGAUGUGCCCAGGUGGGAUUAGCUAGUGGGUGGGGUAAAGGCCAACCUAGGCGACGAUCCCUAGCUGGUCUGAGAGGAUGACCAGUCACACUGGAACUGAGACACGGUCCAGACUCCUACGGGAGGCAGCAGUGUGGAAUAUUGCACAAUGGGCGAAAGCCUGAUGCAGCCAUGCCGCGUGUAUGAAGAAGGCCUUCGGGUUGUAAAGUACUUUAAGCUGGGAGGCGUUACCCGCAGAAUAAGCACCGGCUAACUCCGUGCCAGCCGCCGCGGUAAUAC
rnacentral:rRNA from 1 species